rnacentral:lncRNA from 1 species
UUUAGUCAUUUUAUUAACAAAUCUACCUGGAUGCAGAUGCAAGCUAAUAAGUGAAAAGCAAAUGAACAUAGUUGCAUUCAGAUGAUUCAUCUGGAUGCAUGGACGAAAUGAAGACAUCUAGAUGAACCAUCUGAAUGCAUCUUCCAGAUGUACAAACGAACAAGGCCUAACAGUAUAAAAACCCGACUGAACGAAUUUUAUCUGACCGGUUCCGUUCGAGUUUUCAGGUUCAGAUCUUUUGCCUAGGCCUAUGGUGGUUAUACGACGUAGUCAACAUAAGAAACUUGUGAAUUCUUAGUUAAGUGAAGGUUCAUUAAGAGAAGUAGUACCGGUAUGUGACUACUUACUUGACAUUGACCAAUUAAGUUGUUUUGCUACCUAAACUCACCUUUUUGCCUAUUAUUUGUCAAAAUUUAUUGCUUGUGGUGGUGAACUUUGUUUAGAACAUGUAAGAUACUAGUUCUCACUUCU